AUCAAUUGCUUCUAAAAGGAUUUGCGCAGUUUUCUCCACGUCACCCAUAAUAAAAGAGGAACGAGCAGGGAUGUAGUAAAUUGAAUCCCUACAAUUAGUUUCAGACGAUUCAGUAAUAACCUUUGAUCCCUUCAGCUUUAAUUUUAUAGCGGACGCUCCAUCAUUUUGGACACAUUGUUGAUAAAUCUCUUCCAAUCCAAGUUCAACUGUAUCUUUAGACUUUAUAGUUAUAAAUGAAUAUGACGGUGGAAUAGUAUUCAACAUUUUCAACCAUUGCAAGCACUGAUCCUCAAACUGUAUAACCGGUGCUUUAACUAGUACUUUGAAAAUGUCUGAGUACCAUUGCACUAAAGGAGCAUUUUCAGCUUGAAAAUGGAUUUCUGAUGCACUAGUAUUUGACCUGUAUACGAUAUCUUGAAAUUGAACAUGGUGUGAUUUAUCGGUUGAUUGAUUGUCAUCCAAACUGCGCAACUGUAAAGCACGACGAACUCGCUGAAGGCUUUGCAGUACUUGCCCUACAGUGCCUUUGCCACUGUUUUCAUAAUCCGAAGUUGAUUUUUCGGGGAGUAAAUAUGGCUUCACGACAGGCUUCGUUCGAGUGGGCAAAAUAUGUUUAUUAAAUUGCAGAGAUGUUGGCAAGUCAAUGAGACAACUAGUGUCGUCCAUGUAUAAUAUACAUGGCAUUAAAAAUUACACGAAUACCGAACCUCAAACAAUCGUGAUAAAUGAAAUGCACAAGGACACCGCUGAAUUUCGUUAUAGCAAUCUAUUAAAUUAGUAGCUCAAAAAAUAGCUUAUGUGCGCUCAACUCAAAAUAAGAAGUAGCGAGUUGAGUUAAUUAAAUUCAGUCGGAUAAGAAUAAUUGAAAAUACCGCUCUCGACGCGUGACAAACGUGUAUACUUUAUCGAAAGUUACUCGAUAGGUUUCGUCGUACCCAUCAACUGGAGUGCAGUUAAACUUAUUAUGCU